AGGAGCCGAAUGAAACCAAAGUUUCAUGUUCGGUUUUGAAUUAGAGACGUUAAAAAUAAUGAAUCAACGUCGACUAUAAC
rfam:Nelumbo nucifera chloroplast, complete genome